GCCCGAGUAGCUUAGCCCGGUGGAGCGAUCGACUGUUAAUCGAUAGGUCAAAGGUUCAAAUCCUUUCUCGGGCG
rnacentral:tRNA from 1 species